CUAGCUUUAGAGCAUCAAUAGGGCAAGUCUCUUGCUUUGGGGGUGGAGGUGGGCAUGGCACUGGAGGUGGCGGAGGAGGGCAUGGUGUUUCAGUUGGCGGUGGCUUCACAACAGGAGGCUUUGGUGGUAGAGUUGGCGGUGCUGGUGUUACCGGCGGCGUAGGAUAAUACGGUGGUGUAGGGGUAACAGGAGGCUUUGGUGGUAGAGUCGGAGGCUUGAUCACCGGUGGUUUUGGUGUCGGUGUUACCGGAGGGGUAGGAUAAGGCGGCGGAGUUGGGGUAACAGGAGGCUUUGGUGGUAAAGUUGGUGGGGAAAUGAUUGGUGGUUUGGGUACAUAAGGUGGUGGCUUUACAGUAGGAGGCUUUGGUGGUAAAGUUGGUGGGGAAAUGAUUGGUGGUUUGGGUACAUAAGGUGGUGGCUUUACAGUAGGAGGUUUUGGUAUAUGGGGUGGAUAUACAAUUGGAGGCUUGACAACCGGUGGUUUGGGUACGGUUGGUGGUUUGACAACGGGUGGUUUGGGUACAUAAGGUGGCGGCUUUACAGUAGGAGGUUUUGGUACAUGGGGUGGAUAUACAAUUGGAGGCUUGACAACCGGUGGUUUUGGUACGGUUGGUGGUUUGACAACGGGUGGUUUGGGAACCACCGGAGGUUUGGGUGGCUUAGGUGGGUAGUGUUUGGGAGGUUUAUGGUGAGAGGGUGGCUUUACCUUAGGAGGGUGUUUGGGUGGGAACUUAGGAGGAUGCUUCGGUGAAGGUGGAGUUGGGUAAGGACAGUAAGGGCAAGCAAGAGAAGGGAUCAAAGAGCCUAAGUUGAGAAGGAGAAACAAGAGAUUUACAAGAACAAGCUUGGCCAUUGUAGCUGUCUCCUUCAGUGGCUUCUCAGUGAAUGAAGUUCUAGCCUUCUUAUAGACAUCAAGAAUGAAAAAAAUAUCAAUCAAUCAAUUCUCAAAAACAGGAAAAAAGAAAAAAAAAAAGUGAAAAAUAGUAAUGGCCAUCACUUUUAUUUUAUUUUAUUUUGUGGCGUUAGAUUGACUUCUUAGAUAUUAUGUGAGUGUGCGUGGAUUUAAAAUAGUAUCACAAAAUCCUUUUAUUAUGUUAAAGUUAUAUUUUCAUAUAAGAAACAUAAAUUACAAAUUAAAUUUUUCUUAAGAAGAAAAAUUGGUUAUUUAUGAUUAUCCUCAAAAAAAAUGUUAUUUAUUAUAAUCUCGAAAAUGAAAGCACAAUUAAGAAAAUAAAAAAAUAACUCAUUAAAUUAUGUAAAUACUCCUUCCGUCCCAUUUUAUUUGCAUGGUUUGACAAAACACGCAUAUUAAGAAUUUAGUCAACAAAAAUUAUUUUAUCAUUUUCACCCUUAACUCAAUAAAAUAUUAAUAAAAGUCAUUCAUUUAAUGAAUAAUCAUAAAUGUUAUUAUGGAAAAAGUAAUUGUUUAAAUGUACAAAUUUAGAAAUUUUGCAAAUAUUUUGUGACAUUCAAAAAAGGAAUAACAAAUAAAUAAAAUGGAACGGAAGAAGUAUUACUUAUAGGUCAUGUUCGGUAACACUAACUAUUAGUUGUUCUAAUAACUUUUAGGGUCUACUUUUUGGAUAUGUUUGGUAAAAUUAGCUGUUUUGCAUUAUUAGCUAUUUUAGCAUCUGUUAGCUAUUUGAAUAGUUUUUCGUAAAACACUAAAGCUAUGGGUUAUUAAAUAGUUUUUCGUAAAACACCAAAGUUAUGAAUUAACUUUUUAUAAAAUACUACAUUAACCUCUAAAAGCUAGUUCAAACGCUAUAAAAAAAAUAGUGAAAUGCUAAAAGCUACUUAACAAGCUAUUACUGAAUACAGUCUUAUAUGUUUUAGUAGCUGUUGAUCAUUAGAUGUUAGGAAUUAGCAGUUAGUUGUUAAAAAAUAACAAUUUGAGUGACCGUUAAAUUUAAAAUAAUGAAAGAAGACAUUGAAAUAUUGACUUAAAAUUUUCACUAAAAUUAAACUCGUUAUAUAUAUAAAAAAAUAGAUAAUUUCUAUGUUAUAUAUAUACACAAAGAAAGAUUUAAUGUGUUAUUAAUUUUUUAUCUAGAGAAUGUAAAUUUAUGGUGCGUAGACCAACUAGAUAAAAUUUACAUUAUUAAAUAUUUAUAUUUAUAUGGUGUGCAACUCAACUAUAUAUUUAUAUUUAUAUAGAUACAAAUAUUAAUGAAAAACUGUAAAUUAUUUUUUUAAGAAGAGAAAUUUUCAAAAUUUCAAUUAUAUUAUUAAUUUUAUUAAUUAUUAAAAAAAUAAAAUAUAAUUACUAAUAUUUUUACAACAAACACCAUCACCAAAAUCAAAAUCCAAAAAUCCUGAUAUCAAAAAUAAGAAAUUAGAAUACUAAUGCAAUGCAAACACUUUUAUGCCCCAAAAUUAACUAAAUAAACUCAAGACUUUUCAAUCAGAGAGUUUAAUUUUGAUUUUGAGACGGCUGCACUACAUGCACCACUUUGCACUUGCACGUGUCAAGUAUCUGUAAGCAUGUUCAACUAUAUAUACUUGAUAGUGAUGAAUGAUGCAGCUGGUGAAAGCAAUUAUUUGAUUGAAAACUUACCACCGACAUUAAAAAAAUGGUAAAUAAAUGAGGUAAUUGGUCGACUAAUACCCAUUUAGGUAUCAUUAUCAAAAUAGAUUGGGGGACCAGUAAUUAAGUUAGCUGUUGGAGUUCAAAACGACAAAAAGAAUCAGGAAAAACGAGUAAUUAGAUUUUGGACAUUUUUAACAUUUAGUGCCCUGUUCAGCCCGUGAUUGACUUUAAUGGCUGCAGGAUGAGAGACAUGUGAUGCUCUUUUACUUUGUUAAACAUAUUCAUAACAAGACAAAGCCAUUUUCCAUUUUCAUUUUUGACCUAUUUUUUUUAAUUUCUAUGAAUAUAUAUAUUUUAUUAUAAAUAUAAUUUUGGUCUUCAUAUAAUUAUCAUUUUAGAACUGACAGUAUAAGGCUUCGCACAUGACAAAUUAGUGCUAAUUGAAAUAUUUAUUAAUAACUGAAUAAAAUAAGUCAACCUUUUCAACUGGUUAAAUUGGCCGGAUGAUGAUGAGUUUUAGAAUUUAAUUAUAAAAGGGCUGUUUUUUUUUUUUUUUUUUUUAUCAGUGUUGAAGCAUUGUGUGUAGACUUAAUUGAAACAGUAUUAGUCAUCAUUUUACGUAUGUCCACAGGUUUGGUUAGAACCAUAAUCAAAUUGAAACCAGACUGGGUUUUAUUGAAUCAAAACCGGGCUCGGAAUUCUCAAUUCUAAAAUUUGAAUCGGAAUCAAUAGUUUAAAAGCCAACUAAGGUUAUGCGAAAUGCAUAAUAUAGCCUCUAAAAGUUUAAUAAAAAAAAUCUUUUGACACUCUAGAUUUUAAAAUCAACCUUUUGACACCUUGAAUUUUAUUUUAUUUAAUAAUCUCACAUUUUGUCAUGCCAGCGACCAUAAUUUUUUAGGUUUUUAGUUUUUAUAUAUAAAAUAUUGAAUUGUUAUGUGGUUAAUAUAGCUUUUGGUACUAUAAUUUUUAUAUUUUUUAACUAUUCAAUAUGUGUUUAAUUGAUCUAAUUUUAUAAGUUCAGGUGUCUAACAACCAAUCAAAAUACUUAAUAGGUACAAUUUUAUAAAUCAAAAUAUUCAGUAAGUCAAAAUGAAAGUUAAAAAUGCCACAAGAUUUUUCAUAAACAGUAAAAAGGUGAAUUUAAGUAUAGAUCCAUUAAGGUUCACUUUACUUAAUAGUGUAAUUUGGUUAGUAUAAAAUAGAAUGAUUCUCAUUCCAAUUUCAUUCUAAAACAUUUUAGAAUUUAAAGUUUCAUUACAUUCCGUUUCAAAUGUUUUUUAGAAUUAAAGUACCAUUCUAACCUGUUCCAAAUAUUUUUUGGAAUUUAAAUUUCAUUUCGUACCAUUUUAUGAAAAUUCAAUUUGAAAUUUAAUAAUUCCAAAUUUCUCAACCCUAAACAUAAUCUAAUUCAUUAAGAUAUUUUAAAAUAUAAAUAUUUAAAUUUGAUAAUAAAUAAUCAAUAUAUUUAUUUAAAACUAAGCAUAAACACUAAAAUAUAAUUAAAAUUGCAAUAAAACAAUAAUUAAAAUUUCAAGCUCAUUGAUGAUGAAUGGAGAUAUAGGUUCAUUUAACUACUUUCCAUAAUUAGUAAUAAACUGACAACAAAUAUAGAAAGACUGAAUGCGUAAGUUCACCCUUUAUACUUUAUGUAAAAAUCAUUGUGGCACCCUUAACUUUUAUGUUGAUAUGUUGAACUGUUCAAAUUUUUAAAAUUAUACUUAUUGAAUACUUUAAAUUGCAAAACUUAUUCUACUCAACACUAAAACUUAUAAAAUUAUAUCGAUUAAACACUUAUUGCAUAGUUGAAAAAUGUGAAAGUUAUUGUUUCAAAAAUUAUACUAACCAUACAUCAAGUAAAUAUUUUACAUAUAAAUGCUGAAAACACCAAAAAACUAUUAUUGCUAGUAUAGAGAAUGUUAUAAUAUUAUCAAAAUUCAUAACUUCAUGGACAUAAUAGAUCCCUCACAAAGGCUAGAGUGCUAUAAGAUUUUUUUUGAUAAAAUGGCCAAUGUAAAAAGCAGAAAGUUGGUGCAACUGUGACAUCCCGACCUGGCAAAGCGAUCCUAAGAGGGCGGGUAGAGCGAAGCUCCUGGCUAGCUUUCAGGAUGGCAGACUAGCUAGGGUAGUGGAAUGCGGCAAACAUGAAAGAAUCGAAUCAUAUAUCGAAAAGGGAGAAACUAAUCAUUAGAGGCGCCUUUUGGUGUAAUGGCUGGAGAGUUGAAAGAACUCCAGGGUAAGCGUGCUUGCUUAAUGGAAAUCUCAGGAUGGGUGACCUCCUGGGAAGUUUCCCAUUUCACCUGCGGGACAAAACCUUGCGGGUAGGGCGUGCGGGGACUACACUAAGGCGUAGGGCGUCCGUGGACUAUCCAAAGCGGACAAUUCCUCUGGUGAUUAGAGUCAGGGCGUGACAGUUGGUAUCAAAGCCGGCCCCCCUCCAGUAGAUGUAUGGUUGGAGGACGACCCACGCGGAAGCUAGUGGGCCUGUGACAUCCCGACCCGGCAAAGCGAUCUUAAGAAGGCGGGUAGAGCGAAACUCCUGGAUAACUUCUAGGAUGGCAGGUUAGCUAGGGUAGUGGAAUGCGGGACACAUGAAUGAAUCGAAUCAUAUAUCGAAAAGGGAGAAACUAAUCAUUAGAGGCGCCUUUUGGUGUAAUGGCUGGAGAGUUGAAAGAACUCCAGGGUAAGCGUGCUUGCUUAAUGGAAAUCUCAGGAUGGGUGACCUCCUGGGAAGUUUCCCAUUUCACCUGCGGGACAAAACCUUGCGGGUAGGGCGUGCGGGGACUACACUAAGGCGUAGGGCGUCCGUGGACUAUCCAAAGCGGACAAUUCCUCUGGUGAUUAGAGUCAGGGCGUGACAGUUGGUAUCAAAGCCGGACCCCCUCCAGUAGAUGUAUGGUUCGAGGACGAACCACGCGGAAGCUAGUGGGCCUGUGACAUCCCGACCCGGCAAAGCGAUCUUAAGAAGGCGGGUAGAGCGAAACUCCUGGAUAACUUCUAGGAUGGCAGGUUAGCUAGGGUAGUGGAAUGCGGGACACAGGAAUGAAUCGAAUCAUAUAUCGAAAAGGGGGAAACUAAUCAUUAAAGGCGCCUUUUGGUGUAAUGGCUGGAGAGUUGGAAGAACUCCAGGGUUAAGCGUGCUUGCUUAAUGGAAAUCUCAGAAUGGGUGACCUCCUGGGAAGUUUCCCAUUUCACCAGCGGGACAAAACCGUGCGGGUAGGGCGUGUGGGGACUACACUGAGGUGUAGGGCAUCCGUGGACUAUCCAAAGCUGACAAUUCCUCUGGUGAUUAGAGUCGGGGCGUGACAGCAACCAUCACUACAAAAAUAGUGAUAGAAGGGGACGAGAAUUAGGGACAAUAAAUAUUAUUUGUCCCUAAAAGUUAUAAUCCCCUUAGAUUAGGAGAGAAUUUUAAAAAUUGUCCCUUUUUAUGAUAAUAAGACACAAAGGGGAGGAUUUGAGUUUAUUAUGGUUGAGAUACUCCUUGCUUGGUCAAACAGUUUGGAUAAUAUCAACAAUAUUCAAACUGCAGAUAUUGAAAAUCAUGUGUAAUCAUUUUCAAACUGUUGCAGAUUGUUCUCGUUUUGGUUAAGCUUCAGUAUAUUUCUCCUUAGUAUUAGGAACUAACUUCCAUUGAGUGUAUUUAAAUAUCUGUAACAUAUUGUUAUCAUAAUUUUUCAAUAACAGAUUAAAACUUCUUCUUCUUCUGUUUGUACAUGGUAUCAGAGCAACCAUGGUUGACACCAAUACUUCAAUUAUCUCUCCCAAUAGCCAUGCCCAGCAGUCCUUUUCUGUCAAACUCAAAAACAACAAUUAUCUAGCUUGGAAAACACAGUUCCAACCUCUCUUAAAUUAUCAUAACCUCAAUCAUCUCAUUGAUGGUUCUUCCCCUCCUCCAAAAACUAUCAAAUCUCCCUCUAAUCCUGAUAUUGAGAUUCCCAAUCCUGAAUAUGCUACUUGGUUCAAACAAGACCAACUCUUACAUUCUUGGCUUCACUCCUCCCUUUCUGAAGAAGUCUUCUCCUACAUUGUUGGGUUGAACUCGUCUCAUGCUGUUUGGCAAGCCUUAGCACAGGCUUUUGGUUCCAUCUCUCAAAACCGACAGCUACAAAUCCACAUUGAACUCCAGGAGUUCAAGAAAAAUGAUCUUUCUAUUGCUGCCUAUCUUCAACAUGCCAAAGCACUUAAGGAUGAACUACAAGCUGCCGAUCGUCCCCUUUCUCCUGUUGAAUUUAAUGCCAUUAUUUAUAGAAAUAUUGGAGUUGAAUAUCAUAACAUUAUCACUGCUUUGAAUCUUCGACCUGAACCUAUCCCAUUUCAUGAGCUUCAUGGUCAACUUAUUGCUCAUGAGAUAGUUCUCAAAAGUUGCCUUGAUCCACCUCAGGCCAACAUGGCAUCUAGAUACACUGUUACCCAUCCCUCUCCUCCCUUCCUUCCCACGCCAACUUCCACACCUACUUGGCAACGGAAUACAUCCUCUAAAUCCAAAGGGCCAUGUCAAAUCUAUGGAUUACAGAAUCAUACUGCCGACAAAUGUCGCCGUCGUUAUCAAUGGCCAAAUCAAAACUCUCGUUCCCAUCAAAAUUAUUCCCAUUAUUCACCACCUAUGGCAAAUCAUUUGUAUCAUUAUCCCACACCACCUCCUUAUAAUCCUCUCCCAUCACCGGACUAUCCUUCAACACCGCCUAUGGCAAACUACACAACUUCCUCCCCAUCUAUGACUUAAUGGCACCCUGAUACUACUGCUAAUUUCCAUAUCACACCUGAUAUUCAGUCCUUAAGUGCUGCGUCUGACUAUCAAGGAACUGAUCUCCUUCAUGUUGGCAAUGGCGUUGGCCUACCCAUUUCCCAUAAGAGUACAGUUACUCUUCCCUCUUCCAAUGGUCCUCUUCUUCUUAAAAACACUCAUAUUUCAAUUAGGCUUAGGGGACAAUUUUAAUUUAAGGAGGAAUUUUAAUAAUUUAUUUCUUUUAAAAAUAGGAUUUUACAAUAAGUAUAGUCUAACCAAAGGAGAUUUUUUCAAGCCGCUGGUAUAAACCAUUAUAAAAGGGCAAAAAAAAAAAAAGAACUCGCAGUUGCACCAAAACAAAUGAAAGUAGAAAAGAGAACAUGCAAGUGCAGCAACCAAAAAUGUUGAAAAAAAAAAAAGAAGAAAAGAAAACACAAGUCACAAGGAAAAAAAUAAAGAAAGCACGAAAAAAAAGAAAAAAAAAAUUGCAAGGGAGAAAAAAGAAGUAACAUUAACUAAAGCUUUGCGCCAAAAGGAUAACCUUUUGCUGUUCCUCUUCAACAUUCAUAUAUAGCAAGCUCUUUGAAUCAUAUCACAUGUAUGUAAUCUAAUUGGAUUUCUUUAAAUAUAGUUGGUGAAUACUAUAAUGAUUACUUGCUAUUUCGUUAUUAUGAUAAUAAGAGUUCUUUGAUUAGAGAUGGUAUAGGAACAUAUAAGAUACAAUCGCAUACUGUAUUUGUCACAAGUCAAAUAAAAUUCAAAGGAAAAAAAGGUGCCAAUGAGGUGCACAACAGUGAGAGAAAGCUGUGAGCAAUAUCGAGGUGCACAAUAAGACUUGAGAUUCAGUUCUUACUAAUAAACAUAUUUUUUGAAGUUGUUUUGUGAGAUCAAAAGUGGAUGUUAAUACUAUGAACAAAGUAAGAAAAUGUGAUGCAAAAUUACAUAUGAUUCUGCAUAGAAUUUCAUCAUUAACUCAGUUGGUUCUUGGGAGAUUUAAUUAAAAUCUAAAAAGUUAAUUAGUUAUGUUAACAUAAGAUUGGUGGUACUACCAAUAAUUCAAUAAUUUUCAUUCAAAUCAUUUAUUGUGGCUUCAGGAACAUAGCUAAAUAAUGUUAGAUUAUAUGAUAAAAUGUUUAGCAUUUCAUAAAUAUACUCGUGUUCGAUAUCACAUUUAUCACCAGCCACAAAUUCAUGAAUCAUACAUCCAAUCUCAAUUAAACUAAUAAAUAUGAUAUUUAUCAAACACGAGCAUAAAGUCUUUGGAUAAAAUCUGUGGAUGCACACAUAUGCGUUUAUAAAUAAGGAGGAUGAACAAUAGUGGCAUGAAAUUGAAGCAAUGUGUAUUCAUGUAUGUGUAAUUCUUGAAAUAAAUGUUUGCUUAUGUCUCGAGGAAUUUAACUUUGAUCUUCAUUAAAAAUUUAGGGUGAGAUAAAACGAGUUGAGAAUCGACCCAUUGUUGAAGAUGAAAAUGCUCGCGACAAAGAUGCAGUAUUGUGAGAAGAAAAUAUGCAGUAUUGCGAGAGGUUUUCUUCGAAAAGAUCAAGUUAUGCUCGUGGUAGGGGAUCAUGAUAUAGAGUGAGUACUAGAUGGAUGGUUUCCAAUUCAAAAAGAGAAGAUGUUGAGGAGUUGAAGUAAGAGAUAGCGGAGUUGAAAGCUCAGCUGACAAAUGAAGCACUCUUAAAGAUCCGUUUGUCUCCGUAAAAUAACUUGUAGAAAAAUAUUUUUCAUAAUUUUUCAUUGUUUGGCGCCGUCCAGGCAAAAUAAAUCAACGAAAAAUAUUUUUCCAGGAAAAUCAAGUCAUUUUUAAGGAAAAUAACUUUUUUAUUUUCAAGAGAAUAAACAUUUUCUGGAUAUUAGCAAAUUUAUUAUAAUUUAUAUUUUUUAAUUUAUUAAUUAUCAACCACUACCACAGGUCAUUGUUCACCAUUGGCCCCCACCACUAGCCAAAACCACCAACCCUUGUUAGCCACCACCACGAGCCCCUAUCGGCCACCACCAUUGGUCACUGGCGACUUUCAUAAAUUACUUUUUUUUUUUCAUUCUCCCCAUAUUUAAUAAUACAAUUUUUAAAAUAUGAAAUUAUUAUUAUUAUUAUUAUUAUUAUUAUUAUUAUUUUAUGGCUUUAUGAGUUAAAAAUUUUAAUAUUUUAAACUAAUUUUCAAUAUAGCAAACAAACAACGGAAUAUAAGUCAUUUGGAAAAUAUUUUCCUUGAAACAUAUUUUUCAAGGGUAGGUUAUUUUCUGAGCCUUAAAAUAAAGAAUUAUUCUCUAAAAUGGAUAAAACAUCUGAAUGCUCGACAAAUUCUCGACUUAUGAAUGUACAUGCAUAAUAAUUAUUUGCAAUAAGUAAUCACGAAAUUAAAUAUGUCAUUUGUUAUCCAUGAGUUUUAUAUUGAAAAGCAUGAAUUUGCUUUCAUAAAAUAACGUUAUUUUUUAUUUUUUUUUUAUUUUUUUUAGGCAUUUAACGUGGUGUAAAUAACAAUUAGGUAUAUGUAGACUUAAUUGUGAUUAUUGUUUAGACAUACUUGGUUUACUAUUUUAGUAUUUUGGUUUAAAAACUCGGACUUUAUUUUUUUUUUUAAUAUCAAUCAUGUUGAAACAUCAUUCAUAGUUUAGUUAGAGAUUUGCGAAUUUUGUGUUUUAUAUAUUAUGAGCUAUUGUAUACAAUUUAGUUUUUUUAAUGCUAUAGAUUUUCUUAUGAUUUUUUCUUGCUCAAAGUGAUGAUUGUGCAAAUUACUUAUGGAAAGUAAUAUUAUAUAUUACAAAUUAUAAUAUAUAUUUUUAUAAUGUAUUGAUGAAAAAACGAAACGGAAGCAAAGAUAUAUAAUAGCCCGAAUUUAGUCACCACAAAUAAUAUUGCAUUUAAUACGGAUACGAUUUGCGAUAAUAAUAAUAUCAUAUUACAGCCCGAAUUUCAAAUACAAAUAUCAUUCAAUAGAAAUUGGGAUAAUAAUUGUGCUAAUAAUAAAGGACAAGUUACAUCUCAUUUACCAAAGACAAGUAUUAUCAUCAAUUUUAGGGACGACGAACAUCCCAUGUAGGGGUAUAACUUAUGUCUUGUAUGCGAAUGAUAAUUACUGUCAUCAAUUUUGGGGAUGACAGGUAUCUCAUCUAGGAGAUAUAACUUACGUCUCAUAUACUAAGGACAAUUCUUGUGAUCAAUUUUGAGGACGAUAGACGUCUCAUCUAAGGGGUAAAAUUUAUGUCUCAUAUACUAAGGAUAAUUAUUAUAAAUUUAGGGACUACGGACGUCCCAUGUAAGGGUACAAUUUACGUCUUAUAUAUUAAGGGCAAUUAUUGUCAUUAAAUUUGCGGACGACUGAUGUCUCAUAUAGGGGAUAGAUAUUGUCCGCAUUUUUUGAUACAAUUUUUGUACUCUUUGUUAUCGUCUUUUGAAGGCAAUUUAUUGUUUAACGUUAAAAGGGAUGAUAUAUCGCUCUUAAAUUGGGAAUAAUAAUCAUCAAUCGAAAAAUGAGCUAUCUAUUAAAAAUCAUCCCCUAUAAAAUAAGAUACGCUUAUAAGAGAACGCUCACAGGAGACUAUGCUAAUUGUCCCCAAAAAUAUUAGAGACAAUUUGUUUUUUAUUAUAGAGACUAUUUUGAAUGUCUUCUAAUAAUUUUUUUUUGUAGUCCAUGAAAUAGAUAUAAUAAUACCCCAAAACAAGAAAUUAGAAAGAGAAAUAAGAAAGUAAAAGCAAAAAGCAUACCAAAAAAAAUUCAAAUAAAAAAUAAAUUUAAGAAGUUUCAAAAAUGAUCAUUUGAAAAAAAAAAAAAAAAAAUUCUUGUCAAGUAUGAAAAAAAAUGGUAGUACUUUUUCCAGAUGCUGGACAAGAUUAAAGAAGCUCAACAAAAAAAAUGCAAAUUGUGACUCUCUGAAAUGUACUUUAUUUAUUUUUUUAUUUUGAUUCUUGAUUUUCAAACAUAUAUUAAUUACUAGGGGGGUUAAAGUACUUCAUUAAUCUACAUAGUUUUAGAAUGAAAUAAGAUCUUUUUACUAUUAAAUUUUGAAAAUAAUUGACUCAAUUUAUAUUUUAUUAUCAAAUUAUAUCAUUAAAACUAAAAAUAAAAAAUAAACGUUUUCUAAAAAAAAAGUUGAAUAUAUGAAUUGUAAUAUGUAAUUUUCUAUUUUUAUUCCUUUCUAUAUUCUAUAAUUCAGUAUUUUAAAAAUUACAAUUUAUUUUAUAUUUUAUAUUCCAAAAUUUUAUUCCAAAUUAAAAUUCAAUUUGUAAUUUUAAUUUGAUUGUAAAUUUGAUUUUGGACAUUUUUUUAAAAAUAAAUCAAACAAGAAAUUUCAUUAAGAGUAAACUGUAUAUAGAUAUAACGUACAUAUCAAUAUGCUUACAUAUUUUUGUAUAGGAAGUCUCAUAAUGAAUUACUUAUACAAAGAAUAAAAAAAAUAUAAUUUUGAUUCAAGUAUCUGAUUGAGUUGUAGAACAUAACAUUUGUGCCAUAAGCGACUACUUGCUGUACUUGGUGGCUAUUCGUUGUUCGACUAUAUAGUCUUGCUAUAAGUUCGCUCUAAUCACCUGCAAUUUUUUUCCUUCUGUUAGAUAGGAAAUCUGCAUUUUUUUUUUUUUGCAUAAUUGUCCAUAUAAUAAAAUAUUUUAGAUAAAAUCACCAUAAUAGUGUAGUGAUCAUAAAAUUUAAAGAUAUGAAUAAUAAUAAAUUUUAAUAUUUAGGCAAUCAAAAAAGAUUAUUUGAAAAGAAAAAUUAAAAGAGAAAAGAGUGGCCAUCCUGGUUGAAUUUAUUUUAUAAUUAUUAGUAGAAUUUUGAAUUCAGCACGAGAAAAUCUCAAUCUGUAAUAAGUUACCUAACGAGUCAAUGAUGUCGGCCACAUCCAUACAAAUGAAUUAAAUAAUGACGUGUAUAUAUAUAUAUAUAUAUAUAUAUAUACUCUUUUUACAUCAUAAUCCCACGGCGAACAUUGACAAUAUCUGCUUCAAGAAAAGGGAUACGGAAAAAAGAAUUAAUAUAUAAUUUAAAUAUAUAAUUAUAUAUAAUUAAAAUGAUUAAAUAAUUAAAUAGAACAAUAUAGCAUAAAUAAAAUAAGUAAAAUUAUAUAGAAUAUACAAAUAGAAAUAUAUAUAAAUAGGAAAUAGAAUAAAUAUGUUAAAUAUAAAUAUGUAAAUAAAUGAAAAAAAUAUAGAAAUAAAAAUAAAUAAAAAUUUAAUUUCUUUCAAUUUAAAAUAUUGAUACUCUAUUUGAUUCAAUUUUGAUUUUGAAUCUCUAUUUUUGUAUUUUUAAUAAAAUAAAAUUUUACAAUAGAUUUUUAAAACUAAACAACUAAACAAAUUAUGAAAGUUUUCUCUUUUAUUUUGAGUUCCCCUUUUGUAGAAAGAAUGAAUUAGUUGGAAUGAAAGGGCAAAAAGAGAGUUUUAUAUAUUUAUAUAAUUUAUACAAAUAAGAGCAUUCUAUCAAAAGUAUAUACCAAUAUUAUAUCAAUAUUGAACAAAAAAUUAAAAAUCAAAGUAAACAUAAAGGCCAUGCUGAGUCAUUUUGUACACGGAUUCUUGAAUUCAAAUUAAAUUAUAUAAUAAUUUAAAAGAUAAGAUUUUUCUUUUUUUAAAAUUUAAAAAAAGAAAAUAUGCCCUUUAUUUUUCCUCAAGCAUUCAUAAUAUAUACAUAUAAAGUAUGAGAAAAAAAAUGUAAUGGAGAAAAUUAAAUAAAUAUGUGGAAAAUAAAAUCAAUAUUUUUUAGAAUAAUAUCGUAAACUAAUUGAAAAAGAUAUAGCACAAGUCGGGAGCAGGUCUGUUUUGGAUACAAAAUGUCACGGAUUCAAAUUCGGACAUCCUUACCUAUUACUUCCUCUCCAGGUAAAAUUGAUAAAAAAAAAAAAAAAAAAAAAAUUCUAUUCUACUCAUAUAAAGUAAAACUCCAUACUAUUUCUAGUAAAAUUAGAUGACAAAGAGGACAUUCAUUUUUACCAAUUGCACUAACAAUUAAGACUUUGUUUGAAAAGAACGUUAUUUUGUAUAGGAAAUAUUUCAAGAAAAUAUUGACGGAAAGAAUUUUCUUAUUAGAAAGAAAAGUAAAAAAAUAAUGAUAAUCUCUAAAAAUUAUAGUCUAUUUAGAGUAAGGAUUGCAUGUUGAGGGUUGAAUCCCUCUUUCUUUGGGAGUUAAUUACGUUUACAUAUAGUCUUUACUUGCAAAGCAAGGUGUCAAUCGAGGAAGAUUUUUUUUUUUUUUUUUUUUUUAACAUAGACAAUUCAUUAGUAAUGAAUAUAAAUUGAAUAAAUUAUAAUAUUUCUUUAGAAAUAAGAAAUACAAAUAUAGAAAAUUAAAAUCUUUUGAUGUCGGCAGAAGAGGUUAAUCUUCUGAGUAAAAACUGAUCCAUUUUCAAAUAGGACGACAAAAGAAACUUUCCACAAUAUUGUUUCAAAAAUUAUUUUUUUGGAAACUUGAUACCGUAGAAGAUUUUAAUAUACCAAAUUUUAAUGGAGGAAUAGACUAUACUACUAGGCUCCAUUAGUUAAAAAAAACUUACCCGCACUUGAAGAUUUGAAGCCUCCAACCAUAAGCAAUCAACAAUCCAUCUUGUAUUUCGAACUGUCAAAGAAAUAAAAGAUCCACAUAAAAACUCCUUAAUAACUAGGAAUAACUCUAUGAAAUAACCCUAGUAAAAAGGUACAAAAAAAUGCUCAAGAUCGAUCAACUAUUAAAAUUUUAUUCCAAACGACCAUAGGUUCGAAAAUUAUUAGAAAGAAAAACUAAAUAAAAUAAAGAAAAACGACAUAAAUGGAUCAAAAGAAAACUGCCGCUAACCAAAAAAGACGCUCGGUGGUGGUUCAGAAUUUAGGAAGAUUAGUAACCCUAAUUAGGAUCCUUACCAAAUAUUUGUAUUGGUCCUUGUGAUGAGAGCAUAUUAUAUAUAUUUUUGUCUAAUUAUACGUAGUAUUUUGCUGCUAACUUUAUACCUAAUUUUGAAUUAUUAGUAUUUAUUCAUUAAUUAGGUAUAAUUGAUGUGAGUUUUGUGAAUAAAUGCUUUAACUUGAGUAAUUUCUAGCAUUUUUGUAUUUUUGAUCUUUGCUAUGUAAUUUAGGAUUUUCUGGAGCUCUACAUAUCUAAAUAUUGUGCUACAUGACCAUUGAAAGUUAAGACAUAUUUCUACAACUUUUAUGAAGAGAUAGAAGUGAAACAACAAAGUUUUGUGAGUCAAAAGCAACAAUAAAGUCGGAUUGUAAAGUUAGACUCAGGCUGAAUUUUAUGUUAGAAAUAGGUUUUUUAGCCCAUAACUUUGGCUGUACAUCUUGGAUUUAUACAAGGUCAAGCUCGUUAGAAAGUUGAGAUGCAGAGCAACAUUUUCUAUAAAGGGAUCAGAGGUGGAAUUGAUAAGGAAACUGUUCAAAAAUGGCUGUGAAAUCAAUAGAAAAAUUUACCUCAUCGAUUCAAAUAUUCUUUUCAUGAACUAAUGGAUAGUUGUUAUCUCAAUAUUUUUUGGGAGAGAUUUUUCUUUUUAUUUAAGUACAGAUCAUUCAUGGAGAGAGUAGUCUGUUUUAUUUUUCUUCUUCGUGCUAUUUUGGGGAUUAUAAGCCAUGAACAAAAGUGGCUAAUCUUCCAAUUCAAUUCAAGGGAUUCGAAAUUCAUGUGCUCGAAUUGUGAGACCAGAUUCUUAAUCUAAAUUAUUUCUUAAUUGAGUAUCUACUGUUUCUUGUAUUCCUUAUGUUUAACUUAUUAAAUGAUUUACUAAGAAGGCUUAUUAGUUAAUUGUUUGAUAAUAUUAAUUGCUAAUCCAUCUUUAUAAUUCGUAAUUGUUGUGUAAGAUUGAAUGACUAUAGCAAAUAGGUUUUAAGGAUUAUGUGCCAAAUUUUUAAUAACAACUUAUAGAAAUAGUAGGGUGAAUUAAACGAUUCAUGCUUCACAAAUUAUUGUUCAAGCUUAAGCACUUCUGUCCCUAAAGCUUUUAAUAAAUUGAAAAGGAUUGCUUAAUACUAAUUCAUUUAGUAAUUAUAGUCAAUUUGGUGCUGGGCUAUGAUUGAUAUAUAUAGGGAAGUUAAGGGAUUUAUCAUGUUGUUUGGUAAGUUUCGGCUAAGUAUUUGAAAAGAACUAAUUGCAUAUUUCUUGUUUAUGAUCAAUUCAUGCAUUGGAUUGUGAUUUACCUUGAACUGAAUGAUUGUAUAUGUUAAGCUCUCAAAAAAAUUGAGUAGUGAGUAAAUUGUGAAUUGUUCCCCAUUUUGGUGUAAAUUUAGAGUAUUUAUAUUGGGGUAAAAGAUAACUAUGUGAGGGUGAGGAUUAAGAGUCCUAUAUUAUCUACUAGUUAGAGUAUAUUUAGGAGUCUAAUUUCCUUUUAUAUUAUUCUUUAAUGGAUUUUAUUAUUGUAUAUUAAUAGUAUUCUCCUUGUUAGUUAUUUGGUCAUUUUAUGUCCAAAUGUAGUGUUUAUAUAUUAUUAUUAUUAUUUAGUAAUGUUUUAUUGUGUUAUUUUGUGAAGGUUGUCAGGAAAGGACAACUUUAUCUCGUGGAAAAUGAAGCUUUGGUUCGUCAAUCGAGGGGUACUUUAAGAGUUGCUUCAUUUAAUGUGAUAACUCUUCGGUACCUCGCUUGCCUAUAUAAGGCUCCUCCCCUAUCCAUUUGCUUCACUUCUCAUUUCCUGAUUGUCAGAGCAUCUCUCUCUAACUCGUCCAAGUAAGCUUUCACGUUUGUCUCUCUCUUUUUUUUCAUUUUCAUUGGUUGGGAUUAUGGGUUCUUUUGGUAAUGAGGAUGUUCAAGUAUCACUUGAUCAAUCCGGAGAUGAGAAUAUUGAAGAUAUAGACUCGGGGUGAGUGAGGCCAAAGGUAAAAAGGAGAACGUUAGGAUCACCGAUGUACCCUCUGAUAUUGACGAAGGCGAGCUACUGGAUAUAUGUUUUAUGUAUAAUAUUGCGCUAGAGUACAAAUUGAUUAGACCUUCAGAGAAUAUGAGGGUAAUCGAGCCAUUGGAUGAAGACUCUAUCAUGAUGUAUGAGGAAAGUUUUUGAUCUGGGGUUCGAUUUCCUUUGUCAAAGCCUCUGAGAUCAUUUUUAAUGAUUACAACCUCAUCAUUAGUCAGUUACACCCUAAUGGUUUGAGGUUCUUAUGUGGCAUAACAUUGUUGGCUUGCCAAGAUGGACAUACUUUAACUACUUUGGCAGUUUGGGAGCAUUAUCACUUCUCUAUUCGCCCCAAUGACGAUCAGUGUUUCCUUUAAGUGCAGAGAGAAUGCAAUGUCUUUUCUAAGAGUUCUAAGAUUUCUUCAUUGAAGAACUAGAAAUCUAAACAUUUUAUUGUUAAAUGACUAGGAGAGUUCAGAGUGCCGAACCGGUGGUCUGAAGAUCCAUUUUGCCAUCUUCUAGCUCACCAACCCCCUAUGAUCGGAUAUGUGUGGAGUUAAUAAAUGCUAGGUCACUAAGGUUUAUUAACCUAAGGCAGGUGAUAGCUGAGGGUUAUCCGAUUGCCCUUCUAGUGGACCUAUGAGGCCUAACCUUUCCCCUACUGGUAAAUUUUAUUCUUAGUCGCAUUACACCUUGGUUCUUUACAGUAACAUUUUUAAAUUUUUCCUUUUUACCUUUGUGUAGGUAUGGCUCCUAAGAAAGCAAAGAGUUCCAAGAUGGCCAAAGUGACCUAGGCGAUGAAGAGGAAAACUGUGGCUGAUAGUUCGAAAAAGGAAGUACCUUCAGCGAUGCUAGAUCGUUAGCCGACUGAGGUUGAACAUGUCUUAGGGACUUCCCAUUCCGAGCUUACCCCCUCGAGUCUUACAAUUGAGCCUCAUCGGAACAGGCAGAGGGAAAUGCUUAUUCAUAUCCCUCCUCUCAUUCCUUCCAGAGUUGGUGAGGUUUUGGACAUCCGCGGUUACUUUAUGAAAAAGUAUGGGGUGGACUGCAGUCUCCAAGAGGACGGGCCUAGCUAAGAGAUGGCUCGCCACUGUCUUUUUCCUGUCGAUGUUCGCUAUUUUGAUCAUAUGGAUGACAUAGCGAGGAAAGACUUUGUCAAUCAGUGUCUGUUCCAGGCUCUGAAUGCUAACAAUUUGCACUUUUCUCGGAUAACUAAGUUAAAAGGAGGUUAUACAGAGAUGGAAGUAAAGAAAAACGAGAUGGAGGAUGCAUUAAAAAGUGCUGAAGUUACUUAAGGGAGUAGGAGGCUCGACACAAACCAGAUAUUGAUGUUAGUGCUACCGAGCUUGAAAAGUUAAAGGAGGAGAAUUGAGAUUUGUUGGCUAAGAACAAAGAUCUGGAACGAACAAUAGCAGAAGAUUUGGCAAAGGCGUGAUUGAGCUUUUGGAACCAAAAUUAUAAUUGAGUUGGAGGCUGGGGAUCCGGACAAGGACUUGUGUUGCAUUUUAGUGUGAAUUAACUAUAUCCUUUUUUUAUAGAAAAUAAGUUUACUUAGGCUAGCAAAGAUAUAAUAAGACAAACUUUGACUCAAUUUUAUGACAAUUUUGUCAUUGUAGUCGAUUCUCAAAUUUAUUUAUUUUCUUAUAUUUGCUUUUAUCUUAGGUUAUGAAAACUUUAGUUCAUUUUAGGGCUCCAAAAAAUAUUUUGGUUGAUGGGAAGCCUCAUUUGCGAACAGAUAAGUUGAUUCCAUUGCUUCACAACUUUCAGCAACAUAUACAAAGGCUAAGUAUAAGUUACAUGACAUAUACCCCGAUGAUGAACAGGAAGGGGAAGAAAAAGAGGGCGCUGAAGAGACUAGAGGUGAUACCUUACAAGAAGAUCCCAUCGUGGAUGGCUUGCCUUCACAGCGGGUGGAUACCGAAACAUGAGCAGAUAUUCACCCCAUUUCUUCUGAAAGGCGAGGCACUGUUGGAGAUGUGCCUUCAGGGCAAGAUGUUUAGCUAGCCUUAGGAGUUGCUUGUUUUGUACUUAGCUGUAGGAGAUCUUUCUUGUACUUAGCCUUGUGCAUAAAACCUUUUGUAAUACUCUUCUUUUUUAUGCUAAUGGAGACAAUUUUUAUUCUACAGGUUGCAUUCUCUUCUCUUACUUUUAGUAGUAUUUCUUUUUAUUAUGUCAAUGUGAGAAUUACUUUCCUUUUUUUUUUUAAUUAAAUUUCGAACCUUGAAGAAUAAAGGUCCUUUUUGGUGAAUUGUGUAUGUCCGAGCUGAUGGAUUUAGUUAAAAGAUCGCUUAGGUCCAUUUUGACGAACUACGUAUGUCCGAACUGAUGGACUUAGAUAAAGGAAUGCUUAGGUAUAUCCGAACUGAUGGACUUAGUUAAAGGACUACUUAGGUGCGUUUUGGCGAACUACGUAUGUUUGAAUUGAUGGACUUAGGCAAAGGAUCAGUUAGGUUCGUUUUGGCGAACUACAUAUGUCUGAACUGAUGGACUUUGUUAAAGGACCGCUUAGGUCCGUUUUGGCGAACUAGAAAGAGUGCUAAAAGUUUUUAAGUAAGAUCCUUUAGGAAAAACUUAAUGCAUCAUGUCUUUCUUACCUUGGCAAGACAUGAUGCAUUAAGUGAAAAACCUGAGGUCCCUUUGUUAUUAAAUAUAAAGUUAUUUUACAUUUUAUUGGGUGGAAAUACAAUAUGCCUUCUUUAGAUUGUCUGCAUUCUAAGGACUCAUGGAUUUUUCCAUGGGAGGAAAGAAUCGAAUCGGAAUGGGCUUGGUUGAUUUUAUUUUGUAAAGUGGUUUUCUUUUAUUAAAUCCAUUUAUUAAUCCUAAAUGACGAUCUUUUUGAAAAGGGAUUUUAAAGCACUUAGCCUUCAAGUUCACUUACAACAUUUGGGCAAGCGCUUAGCUUAGAGUCACUCAGCCUUGGGCUCAUUUAUAGCAUAAAGCAAGCACUUAGCUCUAAGGCACUUAGCUUUGGGCUCACUUAUGGCAUAUGCAAGUCUUUAGCUCAGAGACAUUUAACAUUGGGGCAUAUUCAGAGUGUUGCGAAAGAGCUUAGCUCGAAGGCACUUAGCCUUGAGGCUUCCAUAGAGCAUAAGGCAAGUGCUUAGGUUAGAGGUACUUAGUCUUGAGGCUCACGUAAAGCACUGGGUGGCGCUUAGCUUGGAGGUAAUUAGUUUUGGACUCACUUAAAGCAUAGGAUGAGAACUUAGCUUGGAGGCACUUUAUAACAUCUCAAAAAUCUCGGAUUAUGAAUAGUAGCAUAAACGGGCUGUGUAUAGUACCAUCAAGGAGAAAAAUGAUAUUUUAUCUAAUCGAGGAUGAUAUUAGUCAUAAUUAACAUUUAUGGAGUUGAUUUAGACUUAUUAUUAGUGGUUAUGAAUAGUAAAACCCAAGUUGUGAUUUUUGCAUAAGAAAUAAGAUUAUAGGUGAAUAGUGUUUUAGGGGUUUUAUUAGAAUUAAGAAGUGUAGAGAUUGGGUUUAUUAAAUAGAAUUUAAAAGUUAUGUGGCCUUUGGAUUAGAAGGGUGGCAUUUAAUUUUAGCCCUUAAUUUAACAACUUCAGGGGAAGUUGCUGAAAAGUCAAAAUCUUAUUCCUUGGUUUGCAUUGCAUUUUCUCUUUCUUUCUUCUUCCUCUCUUUCUUUCUCUCUUUUUUCUCUUUAUGGCCGAACCACAAAAGGAGCAAGAACUCCAUUUUCUUCUUUGAUCUUUCUUAAGAACUACAUAUGAAGACUUUAAAUACUUAAGCUCUAAAUGUCUUGCACCUAAUUCCUGCCAUAGGAGGAGAUUUAAGGUAAUAGUUCAAAAGGUUUUCAAGAUAAGUUAGAAUUAUGUUUUCAUGUUCUAUGUGUUUUUAUUUUUGAUUUUUUAAUAGGGGUUUAGUUUAUCAUGAGAUUGGCAUGCAUUUAUGGGUUUAGUUAUGGGUUUUUGAGUUGUUCUUUGUCAUUUUCUUCGUUUAGAACCUAAAGAGACAUUAAGGUUGGACAAAGGCAAAGAUAAAGUUUGAUUUGGUGAAGUUUAAGUUCUUAUAACUUAAUUUUGGAGGUCAGUACUCAAAUCCCUCUUUUUCAUCUUCUAAUUUCUUGAUUUUGAAUUUAUAAGAUGUUGACCUUAAGAUUUAUGCUACAUGUGUUAGAUUAUUUUAAUAAUCUGUAUGUGGCCCAUGUGAUUAAAGUGCUGGUUCUAAUUACGGUGGCCCAAGAUGAUGGUUAUUGGGCUUAAUGGAUAAGAGCCAGUUAGGGUUUUAAUACCCUUCCUCUGCCUUAUAAAAGAUAAAGGAAUCAAUAGAUUAGGGUUAACACAGAAACAAGAGAAUGUGACGGCUCCCUCAAACACAUACGGAAAUAGUUUGUUUGAGAGAGCUCAUAAAAGAAACUCCCGCAGCUAUUGAUUAUUCUCUGACCAUUAAGAGAGCACUUACGGACAAAAGGCCUGAGUAAAGAAACGUAGAUCUGCUGUUACGGUGAGAAUCGAAUUGUCCCAACGAGGUAACCCAUAACAUAGAUCUGCCGUUAUGGAUCAAGACACUCUUCCAAUUAUUGUAUAUUCUUGUCAAACAAAUUCUAUGAACAAUAGAUCUGGGCUAUAUUAAAGAUUAUUUAACAUGUGGUAUCAGAGCCUGUACCUGUUCUAGAUUUGUUUGAUAGCGUUUUGUUUGGCUUAAUUAAUGAAAAUUAAUUUCGUAUUGUGAAAUUGAUUUAUAUGGUAUAAGCGAAGCCAAAAUUAUAGAAAUUUGAAAACUGUUUGUUUUCUUUAUGCUUUAUAAAUUAUUUUGUUAUUAUUUAUAGAGAAUGGUUAUGACAUAUUAUUGGGUUAUGUCGUUAAAGUUUUGAGAUAUUAAUUUAAUCUCAUAAAAGUUUUGCAUAAAUCAAUGUUUAAUGAAUGGAAAACUUGUUAGUCACCAAAGUGGCCUUGUUUGGAUUGUUUUAGACAUUGAUUAUGCAGUUUUCAAUUGUUCAUAUUUGUGUGAUGCCGUUAUAUGACAUGAAAGUGAAAAUUGAACAAUUGAGCUCGUUGAUUAUAAUUUGUUAGGUUACCCAAAGGUAGACCAUUAAUUAUAAUCAAUGGCAUUAAAGAGACUUAUCAUUGUACUAAUUAAUAUGAAUGUAUAUCCAAAGAUAACAUGUAUAUUGUAUGGAGCAUUAUUGAAUAGUUGANNNNNNNNNNNNNNNNNNNNNNNNNNNAGAGAAGCACGGGGCGUGCUGUAAUGUAGCAUUGGCGUGCUUCUCUCUGACUUGCAUAAAGGCUCGCAAGUUGAUCCAUAAUGAAAGUCUAUUGAAGUAUUUUUCUUUUUGGCAUCAUUAUUGAUUAAAGCUAUGCAUUUAAAUAUUACCCAAAGGUGAAUCUAGAUGCAUAAUUAAAGUUGUUAUUGGUUUGAAUCCAUUUUAUGUUUANNNNNNNNNNNNNNNNNNNNNNNNNNNNNNNNNNNNNNNNNNNNNNNNNNNNNNNNNNNNNNNNNNNNNNNNNNNNNNNNNNNNNNNNNNNNNNNNNNNNNNNNNNNNNNNNNNNNNNNNNNNNNNNNNNNNNNNNNNNNNNNNNNNNNNNNNNNNNNNNNNNNNNNNNNNNNNNNNNNNNNNNNNNNNNNNNNNNNNNNNNNNNNNNAUUAUGAGGCUUGGGAGCGGUCUAACAGGCUGAGCUUGAACUUAAUGAGGAUGACAAUGGCUGAAAAUGUUAAGCCAUCAAUGCCCAGAACAGACAAUGCUAAAGAGUACAUGCUGAAAAUUAAGGAAUUCUCCCAAUCGGACAUAGCUGACAAGUCCAUCGUAGGAUCCUUGAUGAGUGAGCUGACGACCAAGAAGUUUGAUUGGUCACAAUCCAUUCAUGAUCAUGUGACUGGCAUGCAGAAUUUGGCAGCCAAACUNNNNNNNNNNNNNNNNNNNNNNNNNNNNNNNNNNNNNNNNNNNNNNNNNNNNNNNNNNNNNNNNNNNNNNNNNNNNNNNNNNNNNNNNNNNNNNNNNNNNNNNNNNNNNNNNNNNNNNNNNNNNNNNNNNNNNNNNNNNNNNNNNNNNNNNNNNNNNNNNNNNNNNNNNNNNNNNNNNNNNAAUCUCACAUUUCAUAAUGGAGCUAGUAGCAGCAACAACAAAUCAGGGAAGAAAGGCAAGAAAAGGGACAGUGCCCCAAUGAAGGUUAAUGAGGGCCAAAUCUAUAAGGAAUUGAAGUGCUACUCCUGUAGGAAGAAUGGUCACUUCAAGAAGGACUGUCCUAAAAGGAAGAUUUGGUUUGAAAAGAAAGGUAUACUUUAUGUUUCAGUAUGUUUUGAAUCAAAUCUUAUUGAAGUGCCUAAUAAUACCUGGUGGUUAGAUUCUGGNNNNNNNNNNNNNNNNNNNNNNNNNNNNNNNNNNNNNNNNNNNNNNNNUUGAAGUGCCUAAUAAUACCUAGUGGUUAGAUUCUGGUGCAACUACUCAUGUGUCUCAUAUUAUACAGGGAUUUCUUUCAAUCCAACCCAUAAACGAAACUGAAAAGUUCCUAUUCAUGGGAAACAGAACGAAGGCACGAAUAGAAGGAAUUGGAACUUAUAGAUUGAUCCUGGACACUGGUUGUUAUCUGGAUCUUGAAAAGUGUCUCUAUGUUCCUGAAUGUGANNNNNNNNNNNNNNNNNNNNNNNNNNNNNNNNNNNNNNNNNNNNNNNNNNNNNNNNNNNNNNNNNNNNNNNNNNNNNNNNNNNNNNNNNNNNNNNNNNNNNNNNNNNNNNNNNNNNNNNNNNNNNNNNNNNNNNNNNNNNNNNNNNNNNNNNNNNNNNNNNNNNNNNNNNNNNNNNNNNNNNNNNNNNNNNNNNNNNNNNNNNNNNNNNNNNNNNNNNNNNNNNNNNNNNNNNNNNNNNNNNNNNNNNNNNNNNNNNNNNNNNNNNNNNNNNNNNNNNNNNNNNNNNNNNNNNNNNNNNNNNNNNNNNNNNNNNNNNNNNNNNNNNNNNNNNNNNNNNNNNNNNNNNNNNNNNNNNNNNNNNNNNNNNNNNNNNNNNNNNNNNNNNNNNNNNNNNNNNNNNNNNNNNNNNNNNNNNNNNNNNNNNNNNNNNNNNNNNNNNNNNNNNNNNNNNNNNNNNNNNNNNNNNNNNNNNNNNNNNNNNNNNNNNNNNNNNNNNNNNNNNNNNNNNNNNNNNNNNNNNNNNNNNNNNNNNNNNNNNNNNNNNNNNNNNNNNNNNNNNNNNNNNNNNNNNNNNNNNNNNNNNNNNNNNNNNNNNNNNNNNNNNNNNNNNNNNCUUAAUAGGGUUCCUAGUAAGGCAGUUCCUAAGACCCCUUAUGAACUGUGGACGGGAAGGAAACCUAGUUUGAGGCAUCUUCAUGUUCUGGGUUGCCCAGCGGAAGUAAGGAUAUAUAAUCCACAUGAAAAGAUCUGUUGGACAGGCGGAUUCGCAUCUCUUACAACCAACGCAGUCCUCUGUUCUUGGAGCAGAAGCAAUUUGCUUAGAUUUACAUCCAUCCCAAGGUAUCAUUUCUAAUACAUCGGUGGGACAGGCUCGGACACAUUGAGUACACCCUAUACAUGUAUCAUAAAUCUUUACUGAAUGUGACAUUGGAUUUAUAAUUUUUUAACGUUAUAAAAUUUCAAUCUAGUAAAUUUCUAAAUGAAUCAUUAUAUAUUUAGACACCAGACGAAUCAAUGAUUUAGCAGAAUUUUCCUAUUCAAUUCUAGAUCGACUCAUGAGAUAGAGUAGAGCCAAGAUACUUUUAUUUCUUACGUUUUUGCAAACAUGAUCGGAUAAGUUACUACGUAUCAUACAUGCCAACUCGAAUUAAUGAAUAUGAAAAUUAUAUUCUAUAUGAUUAAUACUACUUAUUCAACAAAUUCGAUUGAUUGAUACGGGUUGAUUUUCUGUUACGAUAAAUUGAUGAAACAAUAGCUGGUCCAAUAGCUGCUUCAGCGGCUGCGAUAGCUAUAACAAAAAUUGAAAAAAUAUUUCCCUUUAGUUGGCGACUAUCAAAAAAAUCAGAAAAUGUUACGAAAUUUAUAUUAACUGCAUUCAGUAUAAGUUCAAGGCACAUAAGGGCUCUAACCAUAUUUCGACUCGUGAUCAAUCCAUAGAUACCGAUAGAAAAUAAAUAGGCACUCAAAACAAGUACAUGUUCGAGCAUCAUUGACCAACUCCUUAUAAAUUUCGAUUUUUUUUUCAAUAUGAACAAAAAUUCAACAUCAACAAAUUGGAUUGACUAGAAUAAGAAUAUCACAAGUACAGAACAAAGAAAUAUAUGGAUCAAAUAAAAUAAAAGAGUUUAUACAUAAAUAAUCUUUAAAUAGAAUUGAAGGAAAAAAAAUGUGAUAACAUAAAAUGAAAUUUGUUAAAUUUGGAUUGCGGUUACUAAUUCUAAAGAUUUAUUACUGACGAGCCACAGCAAUCGCACCUAUCAAAGCAACUAAAAGAAUUACUGAAAUAAAGUCAAAUGGAAGAAAAAAAUCUGUUGAUAAAUGAAUUCCAAUUUGUUGCCCAUUACUUAUUAAAUCUUGUUCUAUAAUCUGAUUUGUUCUUGUAGUCCAAAUAAUCCCGUACCAUGAUGUAUCUGAAAUAAUAGUAAUUAGUGAAAUAAAAAUGCUUGUACAAACUAAGGAAGUAACCCCGUUUCCAACAGUCCAAAGAUUAAAAUCUUUGUAAUAUUCUGAACCAUUCAUGAACAUCACGGCAAAUAGAAUUAAAACAUUUAUAGCUCCCACAUAAAUAAGGAGCUGUGCAGCAGCUACAAAAUGAGAGUUUGAUAAAAUAUAGAAUAAAGAUAUACAAACAAGAACAAAUCCCAACGAAAAAGCAGAAUAAAUUGGAUUGGUAAAUAAUACCACUCCUAGACCUCCUAAUAUAAGACCUAAUCCCAGAAAGACUAAAAGAAAAUCAUGUAUUAGUCCAGGCAAAUCCAUUGCACGUAAAAUAAGAGAUAAAAAAAUGGAAUUGUUUUUUCAUGACCUUAUUGACUUGACCAGGAAAAACUUUUUUAUUUUUAGAAUAUUUUUUUAUUAUUUUUUUAUAUUUAUUUUUUAUUCUAUUUAUAAUAAUAAUAUUUAUAUUUAUAAUAUUUAUAUUUAUAAAUAGGUUCUUAAUUGAAUUAAACCCUUUAAACCCUAAGGGGUAUAGAUUACUAUAAGUACAGCUAUUGUACUAAUCUCAUUCUUUCUCGAAAAAGGCAUUCAAAAUUUUAUUAUCGAAAAAAUUAUGGAUAAAAUUACAGAUAUAUUAAUAGAUUUUCAAUCCAAAUUUAGCCGCGAUGCUAUUCUCAUCAAUCAAUCAAAUCAAUAGUUGGAAUUUGUAAUUUUUUUAGUUAUUGACCAAGAAAAAUGAAAGAAAUCCCAUUCCAUCUCUUAUAGAUCAAAGAUAGAUCAAAAUAGAUCAAAGAUAGAUCAAAGCCGAAUUUUAGUGAAUUUUAGUGAAUUUUGGUUUAAUAAUUGUACUUUUUAAUCAAUCAAAGUGGUUUAUCUAUUUUUUUUUUGUUGAUUUUUUUGUUGAGUUGAAUUCAAAAUUGUUCGAAUUGUAUAAUCGUCAACUACUGACAUUGGUAAACGACCUAAAGCAAUUUGAUUAUAAUUCAAUUCGUGACGAUCAUAAGUAGAAAGUUCAUAUUCUUCAGUCAUUGAUAAACAAUUUGUUGGACAAUACUCAACACAGUUGCCACAAAAUAUACAGAUUCCAAAAUCGAUACUGUAAUUAAGCAACCGUUUCUUUCGAAUGUCAGUUUCCAAUUGCCAAUCAACAACAGGUAGAUCUAUAGGGCAUACCCGAACACAUACUUCACAAGCAAUGCAUUUAUCAAAUUCAAAAUGGAUUCGACCGCGGAAACGCUCCGAUGUGAUUAAUUUUUCAUAAGGAUAUUGAAUCGUUACAGGUAAACGGUUUGCAUGGGAUAAGGUAAUCAUGAAACCUUGACCAAUGUACCUUGCAGCUUGCAUGGUUUGUUGCCCAUAAUUCAUGAACCCAGUUACCAUAGGAAACAUAUGGUGAAUAUUUAUGAAUAAUUUUAUGUUUGUUUUUUUCUCUUGUA
rnacentral:lncRNA from 1 species